rnacentral:rRNA from 1 species
UACGAAGGGGGCUAGCGUUGCUCGGAAUCACUGGGCGUAAAGGGUGCGUAGGCGGGUCUUUUAAGUCAGGGGUGAAAUCCUGGAGCUCAACUCUAGAACUGCCUUUGAUACUGAAGAUCUUGAGUUCGGGAGAGGUGAGUGGAACUGCGAGUGUAAGAGGUGAAAUUCGUAGAUAUUCGCAAGAACACCAGUGGCGAAGGCGGCUCACUGGCCCGAUACUGACGCUGAGGCACGAAAGCGUGGGGAGCAAACAGG